CCUGAUCUCAUGAAGCUCUGAAGUUAAUUUACAGGUUGUUGUAAGGGCAUUGGCUUUUGUUAUUCCACAUCUGUUCAUGUUUAGCACCUUCCAGCUCUCUCUACAGGGAAGCAACAAGAAGCAGAGUGGAGACCAUUGCUGGAGACCAGUCACCCUGGCCAGAGUGAAGACCUGGAUAUUUUUAGUAAAGUCCAUGGAUUGUUUUACCCAAGUGCCUUUUAGUGAAGUGUGGGCUCACUUCUCUUGGAAACCCAAAUAUUCAAAGGGAAACUUGAGAGAACCACCCAGGGAUCACUGUAAACUGACAUGCCCUGAGAAGAGAGAGAAAGUGCAGUUCCUGAAAUGCCUUUUAAUGUGCCCAGGAGUUAAAUUGGUCAUCCAGUGGAAGCUAACUCUGUUCUGCUUGGGAACCCAACCUGAAGCAGCCAUUUGGGUAUUCAAUAUCCUUGAAAGAUGAGAGAAGCAUGAAUGGAAGGAAUUAAAUCCUUUACAUAUCAUUGCAGAAGGCAGUUAGUGAAAACAUUUUUCUACCAAAUUGCUUUUUAAAGGUUUUUUUGGAAUUUACAACUAAGAGGUUUGAGAUGGCAACCAGAGAAAGGUAGAAACUCAGGCAUGAGCUAGAACAGGCAUGUUUAGGAAGGAUACCAAUUUCAGGUGCUUUAACUUCUCUGUAUUGUAACAAUUAUUACUCAAUGAUAACUAUAUUAUUUCAGUAUGAUGUUUUAAACUCUUCAAGUUCUGUUUUAGCUCAUAUGAUCUUAAAACAAUAACUAAAUAUAAAAAAUACUAUAAACCGUAUUCAAAGCAAACAAGACUGAAGAAAGUGGACUUUUUUGAACAGUGAUGAGACUUGGUUUCAAGUCUGGUGGUUCUCAGUUUUACAUUCUGUUUCCUCUAUGUCAGGCUGUAG
rnacentral:lncRNA from 1 species